rnacentral:rRNA from 1 species
GACGAACGCUGGCGGCGUGCUUAACACAUGCAAGUCGAACGGAAAGGCCCUGCUUUUGUGGGGUGCUCGAGUGGCGAACGGGUGAGUAACACGUGAGUAACCUGCCCUUUACUUUGGGAUAACUUCAGGAAACUGGGGCUAAUACCGGAUAGUAGCUCCUGCUGCAUGGUGGGGGUUGGAAAGUUUCGGCGGUUGGGGAUGGACUCGCGGCUUAUCAGCUUGUUGGUGGGGUAGUGGCUUACCAAGGCUUUGACGGGUAGCCGGCCUGAGAGGGUGACCGGCCACAUUGGGACUGAGAUACGGCCCAGACUCCUACGGGAGGCAGCAGUGGGGAAUAUUGCACAAUGGGCGGAAGCCUGAUGCAGCAACGCCGCGUGCGGGAUGACGGCCUUCGGGUUGUAAACCGCUUUCGCCUGUGACGAAGCGUGAGUGACGGUAAUGGGUAAAGAAGCACCGGCUAACUACGUG